rnacentral:misc_RNA from 1 species
CAGAGUUGCAAAACUCCCACAAACCAUCGCGAAUCUUACCCGUACGGUUGCCUCGGCGCUGGCGGUCCGGAAGGCCCUCGGGCCCCCCGGAUCCUCGGGUCUCCCGCUCGCGGGAGGCUGCCCGUCGGAGUGCCGAAACCAAACUCUUGAUAUUUUAUGUCUCUCUGAGUAAACUUUUAAAUAAGUCA